GGGAAUUGUUCACAAUGGGCGCAAGCCUGAUGACGCAACGCCGCGUGGGGGAUGAAGGUCUUCGGAUCGUAAACCCCUGUCGAAUGGGACGAAAGACUCGCGAAUGAAUACUUCGCGAGAGUGACGGUACCGUUAAAGGAAGCCACGGCUAACUCUGUGCCAGCAGCCGCGGUAAUACAGAGGUGGCAAGCGUUGUUCGGAAUUACUGGGCGUAAAGGGCGCGUAGGCGGCCUACUAAGUCAGACGUGAAAUCCCCCGGCUUAACCUGGGAACUGCGUCUGAUACUGGAAGGCUUGAGUAUGGGAGAGGGAUGUAGAAUUCCAGGUGUAGCGGUGAAAUGCGUAGAUAUCUGGAGGAAUACCGGUGGCGAAGGCGGCAUCCUGGACCAUUACUGACGCUGAGGCGCGAAAGCUAGGGGAGCAAACGGGAUUAGAUACCCCGGUAGUCCUAGCCCUAAACGAUGAAUGCUUGGUGUGGCGGGUAUCGAUCCCUGCCGUGCCGAAGCUAACGCAUUAAGCAUUCCGCCUGGGGAGUACGGUCGCAAGGCUGAAACUCAAAGGAAUUG
rnacentral:rRNA from 1 species